rnacentral:tRNA from 1 species
GGGCCGGUAGCUCAGUUGGUUAGAGCAGGGGACUCAUAAUCCCUUGGUCGUAGGUUCGAGUCCUACCCGGCCCA